UACGAAGGGGCUAGCGUUGCUCGGAAUCACUGGGCGUAAAGGGUGCGUAGGCGGGUCUUUAAGUCAGGGGUGAAAUCCUGGAGCUCAACUCCAGAACUGCCUUUGAUACUGAAGAUCUUGAGUUCGGGAGAGGUGAGUGGAACUGCGAGUGUAGAGGUGAAAUUCGUAGAUAUUCGCAAGAACACCAGUGGCGAAGGCGGCUCACUGGCCCGAUACUGACGCUGAGGCGCGAAAGCGUGGGGAGCAAACAGGG
rnacentral:rRNA from 1 species